UACGGAGGAUCCAAGCGUUUAUCCGGAAUCAUUGGGUUUAAAGGGUCCGUAGGCGGUUUAGUAAGUCAGUGGUGAAAGCCCAUCGCUCAACGGUGGAACGGCCAUUGAUACUGCUAGACUUGAAUUAUUAGGAAGUAACUAGAAUAUGUAGUGUAGCGGUGAAAUGCUUAGAGAUUACAUGGAAUACCAAUUGCGAAGGCAGGUUACUACUAAUGGAUUGACGCUGAUGGACGAAAGCGUGGGUAGCGAACAGG
rnacentral:rRNA from 1 species